rnacentral:ncRNA from 1 species
UCCCUGCCCUUUGUACACACCGCCCGUCGCUCCUACCGAUUGAAUGAUUCGGUGAAAUGUUCGAAUCGCGGCGACGUGGGCGGUUCGCUACCCACGACGUCGCGAGAAGUCCAUUGAACCUUAUCAUUUAGAGGAAAGAGAAGUUGNGUAACAAGGUUUUCGUAGGUGAACCUGCGGAAGGAUCAUUG